rnacentral:rRNA from 1 species
GACGAACGCUGGCGGCGUGCUUAACACAUGCAAGUCGAACGGAAAGGCCCUGCUUUUGUGGGGUGCUCGAGUGGCGAACGGGUGAGUAACACGUGAGUAACCUGCCCUUGACUUUGGGAUAACUUCAGGAAACUGGGGCUAAUACCGGAUAGGAGCUCCUGCUGCAUGGUGGGGGUUGGAGAGUUUCGGCGGUUGGGGAUGGACUCGCGGCUUAUCAGCCUGUUGGUGGGGUAGUGUCUUACCAAGGCUUUGACGGGUAGCCGGCCUGAGAGGGUGACCGGCAACAUUGCGACUGCGAGACGGCGCAGAAUCCUACGGGAGGCAGCAGUGGGGAAUAUUGCACAACGGGCGGAAGCAUGAUGCAGCAACGCCGCGUGCGGGAUGAAGGCCUUCGGGUUGUAAACAGCUUUCGCCUGUGACGAAGAGUGAGUGACGGUAACGGGUAAAGAAGCACCGGCUAACUACGUG